rnacentral:rRNA from 1 species
UGGCUCAGGAUGAACGCUAGCGGCAGGCUUAACACAUGCAAGUCGAGGGGCAGCGGGGAGGAAGCUUGCUUUCUCCGCCGGCGACCGGCGCACGGGUGAGUAACACGUAUGCAACCUGCCCCUGUCAGGGGGACAACCCGCCGAAAGGCGGGCUAAACCCGCGUACAUGCCACCGGGGCAUCCCGGAGGCAGGAAAGGCUUCGGCCGGACAGGGAUGGGCAUGCGGCGCAUUAGGCAGUAGGCGGGGUAACGGCCCACCUAACCGACGAUGCGUAGGGGUUCUGAGAGGAAGGUCCCCCACACUGGUACUGAGACACGGACCAGACUCCUACGGGAGGCAGCAGUGAGGAAUAUUGGUCAAUGGUCGGGAGACUGAACCAGCCAAGCCGCGUGAGGGAUGAAGGUACAGAGUAUCGUAAACCUCUUUUGUCAGGGAACAAAGGCGGGGACGUGUCCCCGGAUGAGUGUACCUGAAGAAAAAGCAUCGGCUAACUCCGUGCCAGCAGCCGCGGUAAUACGGAGGAUGCAAGCGUUAUCCGGAUUUAUUGGGUUUAAAGGGUGCGCAGGCGGUCUGUUAAGUCAGCGGUCAAAGCCCGGGGCUCAACCCCGGCCCGCCGUUGAAACUGGCAGUCUCGAGUUGGAGAGAAGUAUGCGGAAUGCGCGGUGUAGCGGUGAAAUGCAUAGAUAUCGCGCAGAACUCCGAUUGCGAAGGCAGCAUGCCGGCUCCACACUGACGCUGAGGCACGAAAGCGUGGGUAUCGAACAGGAUUAGAUACCCUGGUAGUCCACGCAGUAAACGAUGAAUGCUGGCUGUCCGGGGGGACUGACCCCUGGGUGGCGAAGCGAAAGCGAUAAGCAUUCCACCUGGGGAGUACGCCGGCAACGGUGAAACUCAAAGGAAUUGACGGGGGCCCGCACAAGCGGAGGAACAUGUGGUUUAAUUCGAUGAUACGCGAGGAACCUUACCCGGGCUCAAACGGGGAGUGACUCAGGCAGAGACGCCUGUUUCCCACGGGACACUCCCCGAGGUGCUGCAUGGUUGUCGUCAGCUCGUGCCGUGAGGUGUCGGCUUAAGUGCCAUAACGAGCGCAACCCCCGCGUGCAGUUGCUAACAGUCAACGCUGAGGACUCUGCACGGACUGCCGGCGCAAGCCGCGAGGAAGGCGGGGAUGACGUCAAAUCAGCACGGCCCUUACGUCCGGGGCGACACACGUGUUACAAUGGGUGGUACAGCGGGAAGCCAGGCGGCGACGCCGAGCGGAACCCGAAAUCCACUCUCAGUUCGGAUCGGAGUCUGCAACCCGACUCCGUGAAGCUGGAUUCGCUAGUAAUCGCGCAUCAGCCAUGGCGCGGUGAAUACGUUCCCGGGUCUUGUACACACCGCCCGUCAAGCCAUGGGAGCCGAGGGCGCUUGAAGUGCGUCGCCGCGAGGCGCGCCCUAGAGCGAAAUCGGUGACUGGGGCUAAGUCGUAACAAGG